GAAAUAAAAAUUUUGAGCUUAUUUUAUACUGUUUAAUAUAGUAUAUAUUAAUUCAAUCCGAAAAUCAGAAAUUUAGAUUUUGUUGCAAACAUGUUUUUGAACAAAAAAUUCAAAGUCAACCUACUAUAAUAUUAGCCCCUCCACUAAACCGGCACAUUCCAUUAAUCUGUUUUCGAAUUUUUUUGGAAUUGAUUACCGUUCUUAAUCAUUAACUAAGAUUUCGAAAAGGUGAGGUUCUCCUCAUUAUUUCGGAUGUCGGGAUUUUUCAAAUCGUCUCUGAAUAUUAGAGGAUUUCUUCUAUGCUUAAAUCAGGCUGAAUCACAUUAUCACCUAUUUUCAAUUGUCCUUAUUCUACUCGGGUAUGGUCUUAGACCAUUUCUAAUGGUUUACUCUAUUUUUUACUCUAAAAUAGAGUAACUUUAUGAUAGUGUUUGAAUUUGCUCCAAUGGUACUCUAUUUUAGAGUAGAAAAUAGAGUGAUGAACAAAGAAAAAACAAAUUACUCUAUAUUUGGAGUAAACUUAUUUUUCAUUCUAUUAUAUAGUGAGAAAUAUAAUACCAUUGGAGUAUUUCUUACUUUAAACUCUAUUUUAAAAUAAAAAAUAAAGUGAAGUUGGAGAUGCUCUUAUUCAUUCUGGAACCAGCGUGUACCUCUUCCUGUUUUCGAGAAUGGUAUUUGAAAAAUAGAAAUUUUUUGGUAUCUGGUUUACCUUUGGGUAUAACAAUUCAGCCUCAAAUCUGAAAAAGUGGGCUGCAAAAAAACACUUUUCAAAAAAAAAUCAACAUGUUUGAAGUUAUAUAUGUGUGUGUUUUUUGUGUCUUCGUUUAUUCUUUUGAAAAUGUGGUGCUUUAUUAUAUUCACAUACUUUGCAAUUAUAUUUAGUUUAUUUCAAAAUAAUUUUGCCUUGAGAAAUAAUAAAAGAGUUAAAAAGAAGAAAAGGUUGACAAAUUCUGUUAAAUGGUUUCAUAUUUUAAAUUAAAUUGGUUUAAGUGAAGUAUAAUUGGAUAAAAGAAUAAAAUAAUAUGUGGUCAGUUUUAAAUAAAUAUAUAUUAUUUUAUAAAUAAUUUGUUGUAAUCGAUUUUCUACGGUUCAGUAUGUAAUGACAUGUGGUUAAAGGUUCCGUCCAAAUGUCAACCAUACGAAACAAUAGCAACAUGUGAAGACUGAGACAUAUAGGGUCUAAAAACAUAGGAUAUAAUGGUUCCACUUCACACUUUAAUUUUAUUUCUCAACAUCAUCUCGUAUUAGCCAAAUAUGAGUACAAGAUUAAAAUCUCGAGAUUUAAACCCAAGACACAACUAGUAAGAUCUAGUAUCGGCUGAAAACACUUUAAAAAAUUCUAUACUACCUAGAUUAAACUCAACACACAAUCAUUAUUUUCUGUUUUUUAUAUACUUUCAGUAUUCUAACAAAAUCUAUUGUUUACUAAUUUAUUUCUUAGAUUAUACUUUACUAAUUAAUUUCUGCCCCAAGUAAAAAAAAUCUAGAUCCAUCACCUCUAAACACUACAGACAUCUUACUGAUAUACAAGAAACUAUGGCUGCCAUGAGGUUGACGCAGAUCAGAAUGGAGUCUUUAUGAUAUCAAGAAGAUGGAAUCGGAGAUGGAGAAUCAAUGGCCUUUCUGGUUGUCUAAGAUUAUGUUGCAAUAUGUGAUCAAAGCCUGAGUCAGUUAAAAGAGUUACUAUAAUAACGAACAAAGACGAGAAAACUGAGGCAUCUUUUUUUUUUUUAGUUUUGUAAUAAAACAAUCGGAAUUGAGUCCAUGAUAUCCCAAAUGUUGGGCCUAUCUUACUAUCUAGAUCUCCUCUUCCAGCAAUAUAAAUAAUCUUUAAUCUAUAAUCUAUAAUCUACUAUCAUUUGUUGUGACAUUCAAUUAUUAUGUUUUGAUGACGAUAGUGAAUUAGGUGGAUCAUUUAUGGUCUAAAUAGUACUAUAGUAGGUUUAGGUCGUCAUAGCUAAUUCGUAGUUUUUACAUAUUCUGUAAAAGUACAAAACAAAUUAGGGCUAAACUUACUUCACGUCAUUUUAUAUAGUAACUGUUUUAAGAUAAAUUGUUAUAAAAUUAUUUCAAAAACAUGAAAUUAGUAAAGUACUAUUCAGAAAUCUUCUUUUGUUUAUUUCACAGUACGCUGGUUCAUUGUAUUCCAUAUAAAACUCCUUUUGUGGCUUUAUGUUAUGGUGUUGUAAUUUAAUGAAAGUUAAAGGAACUUAUAUAAAAAAUUAGGAGUAUCAUUUAUCGUCUAUAUGUUCUAUACAUUUGUUGUCAUCUAAUUGAAUAUAUACUAGACGUUGACCCGCCCGACCGGGCGGGUAUUUAUUUUAUGUUUUUAGUUUUUUUUGUUUAUAUUAAAUGACGUAUUUGGAAUAUUAAACAUAAAUUCAUAUUGAAAAUUAAUCUUUAUAGUUAUAAUAAAAAUAAAAAUUAAAAGUUUAAUAAAAUAUUCUGAUAUAAAUUUUAAAUUUCGUAAUUAAAAUAAUAUACAGGCGGUCAUAUUUUUUUUUCAAUUUCAAAAUCUAAACUUCCUUAAAGACAAAGAAAAUAAAUUUAUAAGGGAAUUUGCGGUGGAUGACCACAAAAACAAAUUUAAUUAGGUAUAUGGAUAUGUUACUGUUGAUUUUUCAUAAUGUCAAUAGUAACCCUAUUCUAUCUUGUAGAUAUGCACAAACAUAAAUCUGAUACUUUUGUCUUUAUCUUUCGUGUUAUAGAUUUUUUUUUGAAACAGAAUCUAACUCUUCGUCUCUUUAGCUAUCUCUCUUUCUGUAUUUUUCUCUUUCUCUCUUCUUCCUCCUGAUGUGAUCAUUCAUUUUCUCUAAAUAAGGAACUGUUUCUUUAUUGACGAAAGUUCUGAUGAAAUCAUGUGACAUAUCCUUUGAUUCAUCUCUCUAUAAAUGUGAAGAAUACAAGUAUGUCACUCGCAUAUGCUCUGCCGUCGUGUUCGUAAGCCUCUGAUCUACUCCGCCGCCGUAUUUCCGUAAGCCUAUGCCUUCGCCUCUGAUGUCAUCAUUGUAAUCCUCAGCUCCACCGCCGUGCUCCUGAAACCUCGUCUUCAUUCUUCUUCUCAUUUUAUAUCUAUUUAAUGUUUGAUUUACUUUGGCAUUGCGUUUGGUGAGGAAGAGAUGUGCCUUACUGUUUUUUUUUUGUGGUUGCUUUGCUUUAUCUUCUUGUUUUUUUCUUACGUUUGAUGUGAGAAAUGGAAAAUUUGUGAUGAAUCUGAGGAACAUUAUCUAUU